GAUGAAGAACGUAGCGAAAUGCGAUAACUAAUGUGAAUUGCAGAAUUCCGUGAAUCAUCGAGUCUUUGAACGCACAUUGCGCCCCCUGGUAUUCCGGGGGGCAUGCCUGUCCGAGCGUCAUUGCUGCCCAUCAAGCACGGCUUGUGUGUUGGGUCCUCGUCCCCCCCGGGGGACGGGCCCGAAAGGCAGCGGCGGCACCGCGUCCGGUCCUCGAGCGUAUGGGGCUUCGUCACCCGCUCUUGUAGGCCCGGCCGGCGCUUGCCGACACAUCAAUCUUUUUUCCAGGUUGACCUCGGAUCAGGUAGGGAUACCCGCUGAACUUAAGCAUAUCAAUAAGCGGAGGA
rnacentral:misc_RNA from 1 species